UGGGGAAUAUUGCACAAUGGAGGAAACUCUGAUGCAGCGAUGCCGCGUGAGGGAAGAAGGUUUUAGGAUUGUAAACCUCUGUCUUCAGGGACGAAAAAAGGACGGUACCUGAGGAGGAAGCUCCGGCUAACUACGUGCCAGCAGCCGCGGUAAUACGUAGGGAGCGAGCGUUGUCCGGAAUUACUGGGUGUAAAGGGAGCGUAGGCGGGAUCGCAAGUCAGAUGUGAAAACUAUGGGCUUAACCCAUAAACUGCAUUUGAAACUGUGGUUCUUGAGUGAAGUAGAGGUAAGCGGAAUUCCUAGUGUAGCGGUGAAAUGCGUAGAUAUUAGGAGGAACAUCAGUGGCGAAGGCGGCUUACUGGGCUUUAACUGACGCUGAGGCUCGAAAGCGUGGGGAGCAAACAGGAUUAGAUACCCUGGUAGUCCACGCCGUAAACGAUGAUUACUAGGUGUGGGGGGACUGACCCCUUCCGUGCCGCAGCAAACGCAAUAAGUAAUCCACCUGGGGAGUACGACCGCAAGGUUGAAACUCAAAGGAAUUGACGGGGGCCCGCACAAGCAGUGGAGUAUGUGGAUUAAUUCGAAGCAACGCGAAGAACCUUACCAGGUCUUGACAUCGUAUGCAUAGCUCAGAGAUGAGUGAAAUCUCUUCGGAGACAUAUAGACAGGUGGUGCAUGGUUGUCGUCAGCUCGUGUCGUGAGAUGUUGGGUUAAGUCCCGCAACGAGCGCAACCCUUACUGUUAGUUGCUACGCAAGAGCACUCUAGCGAGACUGCCGUUGACAAAACGGAGGAAGGCGGGGACGACGUCAAAUCAUCAUGCCCCUUAUGUCCCGGGCUACACACGUAAUACAAUGGCGGUCAACAGAGGGAAGCAAAGCCGCGAGGUGGAGCAAAUCCCCAAAAGCCGUCUCAGUUCGGAUUGCAGUCUGAAACCCGACUGCAUGAAGUUGGAAUUGCUAGUAAUCGCGGAUCAGCAUGCCGCGGUGAAUACGUUCCC
rnacentral:rRNA from 2 species